AUUUUUUUUUCCCUUACUUCACAAAUAUCUAAUCAUUUGUACCAGCAGUCGGUAUGAACACUGGUUCUAUGUAAUAUUAACCAGAGACUACCUGGCAGUCGGUUUUUAUUUUCUGGACUUCCUGGCUUUUUGAGAUUCAUUUACUUCAUUAAGUUGUUAUCGUUUUCUAUUCUUCAUGAUUAUAUGAGAUCAUUUUCAAUUGUGCCUUUCCAUAUUUAUUAAUCUUAUUGAAAUACUGACUGACAGUAGUGAUUUUAGCAAAUGGUUCAUAUAUGAAUCAUGGUGAACUCGGCAGAAAAUUGAGGGUUCUCUCAUUGAUUUAUCAGGGCUUGCAAUACACGUUUCAAUUCAGACUGUAGUGAAGAAGAAGCUAAAGAAAUCUAAGGAAAAAGGAUGCUGUUUAAGAGAGAAGGCAUAACUGAGAAGCGUACUUAUUGGUUAUAUUCUUACUAGAUAUUAGCAAUAAAGCUACUGGACAGUUUAUCACCACUUAUCUCUAUGCAAAACCGUGCUGAUUGGUUUAAUCAGAAAAGGGUCCUGUUUUUUAUUUUUUUGAUCGGUAAUCAAGUAGUUUCAUUCAUAAUAAUAGGCAAAUCCCAAGGGUCCUGUUUUUAUCUUUAAUUAGUUUUGAUUUUCUUUGAUUUGAUGAAAGCAAACGACAGAAAAUCUUUUUUGUUUAGGAUUAUUGCUCACUUCCCCUUUAGUUUGUACUGGCUUUUUACUAGCUCUACCAUUGGAUAGUCCAAGAAUAUUUUUUAAGUUGCCCUUCUUAUUUCUUUUGCAAAUUUCCUCUUCUAUACUUCCUGUGUAUUUGGACUAUGCCUAUUUAUGGUAAUAAAACUCUUAUUAAUUAUCAAAAAAAAAUUCCUUAACCAAUAAAUUUUUCUUUUGCAAAAGGGAUCCUUUAAUAAUUAUCAAACAGAGUGUGAGUGAUACGAAUACAAUUCUAAAGCCUGAAAACAAUAGCAAUGCAAAUACAUGAACAUACACACAUGCAUACAUAUUACCUAGGUAUAGAAGCAUACACGGAUGCAUACAUGCAUCUAUUUAUGUAUGCCUGUAUGGUUAUGUUCUCUUGGUUUUUGGCAGAUUCCAUGUUAAACACCUCAUGUGUUUCAGUUCUCAUGCCUGUCUCCAUGUCUUUAAUCAUGUGAGGAAGAGUUGUUCCUUGUGAUUUGUUUGUUGCAUCAACUUGAAAAGAUAAUUUUUUACCGUAUUCUCCAUAUAUUACUUCUUAUUGUAGUAUCUCUUUAUUGUAUUGCUUUAGUCACUUAAGUUUAUGUUUAUAUAUAUACACUGUUGGUAUCCACUUAACAACACACACUGUUGGUACCCAACAAGGUGUAGCCUAGUGGGUUCGAUGUACUCAGUAGAUUGGAAGAGCCCUGCCUUAUUGAGGUUCCACAUCAUCAAAACUCAUAUAAUCUUACACGCACACAUGCACACACUAUUGAUUAUGAUGUAAACAAUUUGAGCGGGAAAGCAUGAUGGUUUCUCAAUUUGGGUAGUAAUGUCUUAAAAGGAAAUUUAUUGUGAAGGAGAAAAUUAUUUGUAUAAAUGUCUUUUAGUUUUUCUUAUUAAAACAUCUGUUAUUUUUUUUGUUAUUCUAGUUAACAGCACAUUGCACCAUUUAUGUAGUAAUUUUGAAAUGUUGCUUCUGCAUUUUCCCUCCUUUCUUCUUCUUAUUCCUCUCUGUUUUUGUAGAAGUACUUUGCUAGUUAAAGGGUCAUGAUUUAUUGAUAUUCUUUUGGUUUUAUUGGCUCUGUUUUUAGCAUUUUCAUCUUUGUUCUACAUAUAUGUAGGUUUUUUUUUUUUUUCGUUUUUUUUCCUUUUUGGUAACACAGAUGUAGGAAUGCAUUGCCAUCAAGUUAGCAUUUCGGGCAUGCUCAUUUACCUUAUUUCAUGAACAUUUGGGGUUGGCAAAAGAUUAGAUAUUUAUAAUGACUUUCCUGGCCUUCUAUUUUUUAAAUGAAGUUGGCAAAUGUAGAAAUGAGGCUGCAGGUACAUGAUAUAGGUUAAAGCUAGAGUGUCUUUCCUUUUGCUUUGAGUACAGGAUGCUAGGAUGACAUGAUUAUAAAUAAAUUAAAUAAUUUAGAAACAUGAAUUAGUCAUGCUGUUAGAUCUAGAAGAAAAGGGUGAUGAUGUAAGUUGUAUCCAUUUUAUACUCGCCAUGUGCUUGAAUUCCACCACGUAGUCUUCAUUCUAUUGUGUACACUUUUCUAAAAAUUGUUUUGUGCGAUUGUUGAAUUUCAUUGGGUAAAAAAUGUCACAAUUGUUGGCUUGUUUCAGUUUUCUGUUCAAUGGCUCCUGGAUGUACUAUUGACAAUAAAAUUUGGAUUUAUUAUUGGAAUACAUAAUGGAAAAGCUAGUAGAUUUUACUGCAACCAUGUAGGCUUCUAAUCACUUCAAAGAAAAAAAGAAUUGAUUGUUGCUGUCUCCCGGAUUCAACCAUUGAUUUCUUGAUUUAUGCUUUAAAAAACUCCCCUCAAGCCUACUAGGCUCAGCAUACUCAUUAACAAGUCUAUAACUCCCCUGUGUACUUGGGCUAUACCUAUAUCUAUAUCAAUAAAAUAUCUUCUUACUUAUUAAAAAAAAAAAAACAAGUCUAUAUCUCCUGAAACACGUUAACAUCUCCAGGACUUAUCUCAGCAACCUGGAUUUCCUCCAUCUCCUCUCUGGUCCACAUAACCCUUAUAGAUUUCUGAAAAAACCAUGGGGAUUGGCUCCAAAUGGUAAGGGCCUUGGUCUUGGUGGUAUGCUCCAUUGCUCCCUCCAAAUUUAAGGUUCAAACCCUUGGGUGCAAACAAUUUCUAGAGGCCGCACGUUUUCUGACUCUAGGAGUUCCAGAAAGUUUAAUGAUCAUGGAGAAUGGUUGGAUAGUCCUGUGUGCUGAAAAGAAAAAGGGCAUCAGAACCUGAAAAAAUCCCCCCCCCCCCCCCCCCCCCCCCAAGCAUGCUCGCGCCCAAAUCAGGAUUCAGUACAGCUCUGUCAGAGUUCAUUACAAUUGACUUCUUGUUUUCCCUUCUAUUAGCCCAUGUAAAGAAUUGUCUGCAGUAUCUCAAGUCAACCAACUCCACUUGCGUGGUGAAGUUAUUGAAGUCAUCCAUCCAGUUAGUCCAAACAAUCAACACCCCCCCCCCCCAAAAAAAAAAAAAACCCCAAAAGCACGUUCAUUCAUUACUCUUGCAUAUAGCAUUAAAGUCACCCAUGAUUACCCAAGGGUUUCCUUUUGUGGUAGCUGAAAAGGAAGUUAAAGUAGCCAUAACUUACUGUGCCUCACAUGUGAAUCCUCAACAACCCUGCAGCGCAUUACCUGAUCCAUUUGACUUUCCCAGGAAACUUGAAGCUCCUCCAGAUUCCUAGCAAAUUCUACCAUUUUUUAAUUUUUUAAACGCAUAAUAUGCUGAAAGUUGUGUUGCCACUAGUCGGCCUUUUAAUGCUAGCUUAUGGAGGUUUUGUAUGACUAUUGCAAGCUGUAUGUACCUGUCUCCUAUAGGCCAAUCCUUCUGUUAGUUUUAAUGAUGUUUUGG